UGCCCAGACUCCUACGGGAGGCAGCAGUGGGGAAUAUUGCACAAUGGGGGGAACCCUGAUGCAGCGACGCCGCGUGGGUGAAGGAGCACCUCGGUGCGUAAAGCCCUAUCGGCAGGGAAGAAAAGCGAACAGGUUCGCCUGGACGGUACCUGACUAAGAAGCCCCGGCUAACUACGUGCCAGCAGCCGCGGGAAUACGUAGGGGGCAAGCGUUAUCCGGAUUCACUGGGUGUAAAGGGAGCGUAGACGGCGGCGCAAGUCUGGAGUGAAAGCCCGGGGCCCAACCCCGGGACUGCUCUGGAAACUGCGGCGCUGGAGUACGGGAGGGGCAGGCGGAAUUCCUAGUGUAGCGGUGAAAUGCGUAGAUAUUAGGAGGAACACCAGUGGCGAAGGCGUCUUACUGGACCGAAACUGACGUUGAGGCUCGAAAGCGUGGGGAGCAAACAGGAUUAGAUACCCGAGUA
rnacentral:rRNA from 1 species